UCCCUAGUGCCGAAUGUCCUCAUUGGUCCAGUCAAACAUGGCCCUAUACUUCACUUGAUGGAAUUUCUCCAGCUAUAAUGGGAGUGUUUUGACUGCUGCAAAACUGGAAAACUCGAGAAGUCAGAUUUCUACUGGAUAGCAACAAACGAAUACAAAGACCCACAACCGAGGAGAGAUGCCUGCACACCUAAUGCAAAAGCCUGCAGUUGCUAAAGGAUGCAUGCAAAGGCCUGCAGGCGUAAGGCAAAGAAUUGCAGCAGAAGGUUGCAGGAAAAGACCUACAUGUGACUAGUGCAAAGAGUUGCAGCUUCUGACGGAUGCAUUCAUGCAAAGGCCUGAAGGUCUGGUGCAACUACCCGCAGCAGGAGACAGAUGCUUGCAAGGACUGCAGGCCUAAUGCAAACCCCCGCCGCAGGAGACAGAGCCAGAAAAAGGCCUGCAGGCCUAGCGCACGGAGCUGCACCCCCCAGCCCCGGCAGGCCUUCCCCGUGCAAACAGCUGCGACCAGCCUCACGGAUUCAGGAGGCACGCGCCUGGCAGGCAGAGCGGCAGAAGCCCGCGCAGGACCGCGGCGCCCCAGUAGGUGUCGCUGGCGCCCAACCUUCGUUACGGGACUUUCUAGCCCGUGGGG